ensembl:rRNA 5S_rRNA 5S ribosomal RNA
GCUUACGGCCACACCGCCUGGUUCAUGCCCGAUCUCGUUUGAUCUCGGAAGCUAAGAUGGGUUGGGCCUGGUUAGUAAUUGGAUGGGAGACCGCCUGGGAAUACCAGGUGCUGUAAGCU